GUGUCAGCCGCCGCGGUAAGACGUAGGGCGCGAGCGUUGUCCGGAUUUAUUGGGCGUAAAGAGCUCGUAGGCGGCUUGUUGCGUCGUUCGUGAAAUCCCGUGGCUCAACUGCGGGCUUGCGGACGAUACGGGCAGGCUAGAAUUCGGUAGGGGAGACUGGAAUUCCUGGUGUAGCGGUGAAAUGCGCAGAUAUCAGGAGGAACACCGGUGGCGAAGGCGGGUCUCUGGGCCGAUAUUGACGCUGAGGAGCGAAAGCGUGGGGAGCGAACAGGAUUAGAUACCCCCGUAGUCC
rnacentral:rRNA from 1 species